CGGUGCCUUACCAGACACAUUUUUUUGUUUUAUCAGGUAACACUGAGGCAAAGACAGCAGAAAUAAAAGAAAGAAAGCCUCCUUUUUGUCCGUUUCUGAUUAAAGUGGUCACUCUUUGACAGCCGGGACGCCAAAAGUGCUGAAAUCGUGUAACUGAUGAGCUGAAGGAUCGGCGGGGGAUCUUUGCACAUCGCCCUCCGUGGCUUUAAGUGAAAAGGUGACAGAGGAGCUUAGAGCGAAGAAAAAGUCUCGACGUAUGCAUUUUGCUUAUCAAUAUGCUUUGUGGAUGAUCGUCGGCUUUCACGGU